rnacentral:rRNA from 1 species
GUCGAACGCUGGCGGCGCGCUUAACACAUGCAAGUCGCACGGGAAGGCCCUGCUUUUGUGGGGUGCUCGAGUGGCGAACGGGUGAGUCACACGUGAGUAACCUGCCCUUGACUUUGGGAUAACUUCAGGAAACUGGGGCUAAUACCGGCUAGGAGCUCCUGCUGCAUGGUGGGGGUUGGAACGUUUCGGCGGUUGGGGAUGGACUCGCGGCUUAUCAGCUUGUUGGUGGGGUAGUGGCUUACCAAGGCUUUGACAGGUCGCCGGCCUGCGAGGGUGACCGGCCACAUUGGGACUGAGGUACGGCCCAGACUCCUACGGGAGGCAGCAGUGGGGAAUAUUGCACAAUGGGCGGAAGCCUGAUGCAGCAACGCCGCGUGCGGGAUGACGGCCUUCGGGUUGUAAACCGCUUUCGCCUGUGACGAAGCGUGAGUGACGGUAAUGGGUAAAGAAGCACCGGCUAACUACGUG